rnacentral:rRNA from 1 species
UGGGGGAUAUUGCACAAUGGAGGAAACUCUGAUGCAGCAACGCCGCGUGAGGGAAGAAGGUCUUCGGAUUGUAAACCUCAGUAGUCAGGGACGAAAGAAAUGACGGUACCUGAAGAGUAAGCUCCGGCUAACUACGUGCCAGCAGCCGCGGUAAUACGUAGGGAGCGAGCGUUGUCCGGAUUUACUGGGUGUAAAGGGUGCGUAGGCGGGAUAGCAAGUCAGACGUGAAAUACCGAGGCUUAACUUCGGGGCUGCGUUUGAAACUGUUAUUCUUGAGUGAAGUAGAGGCAGGCGGAAUUCCUAGUGUAGCGGUGAAAUGCGUAGAUAUUAGGAGGAACGCCAGUGGCGAAGGCGGCCUGCUGGGCUUUAACUGACGCUGAGGCACGAAAGCAUGGGGAGCAAACA